AAUAUUUGACAAUGGAGGAAACUCUGAUGCAGCGACGCCGCUUGAACGAUGAAGGCCUUCGGGUCGUAAAGUUCUGUCCUAGGGGACGAUAAUGACGGUACUCUAGGAGUAAGCCCCGGCUACCUACGUGCCAGCAGCCGCGGUAAUACGUAGGGGGGGAGCGUUGUCCGGAAUUAUUGGGCGUAAAGGGUUCGUAGGUGGUCUUUUAAGUCAGAUGAGAAAGGUGACGGCUCAACCGUGGUAAGCAUUUGAAACUGAGAGACUUGAGUUAAGGAGAGAAAAGUGAAAUUACUAGUGUAGCGGUGAAAUGCGUAGAUAUUAGGAGGAAUACCAGUGGCGAAGGCGACUUUCUGGACUUAAACUGACGCUGAGGAACGAAAGCGUGGGGAGCAAACAGG
rnacentral:rRNA from 1 species